GACGAACGCUGGCGGCGUGCCUAACACAUGCAAGUCGAACGGGGUUAAUUUCUUCGGAGAUUAACUUAGUGGCGAACGGGUGAGUAACGCGUGAGAAACCUGCCUUUCAGUGGGGGACAACAGUUGGAAACGACUGCUAAUACCGCAUAAUGUAUUUUGGGGGCAUCCCUUAAAUACCAAAGCUUUAUGUGCUGAAAGAUGGUCUCGCGUCUGAUUAGCUAGAUGGCGGGGUAACGGCCCACCAUGGCGACGAUCAGUAGCCGGUCUGAGAGGAUGAACGGCCACAUUGGGACUGAGAUACGGCCCAGACUCCUACGGGAGGCAGCAGUGGGGAAUAUUGGGCAAUGGGGGGAAACCCUGACCCAGCAACGCCGCGUGAAGGAAGAAGGCCUUCGGGUUGUAAACUCUUUAGUCAGGACGAAGAACGUGACGGUACCUGCAGAAAAAGACAACGGCUAACUACGUG
rnacentral:rRNA from 1 species